CACGUCAUGUGAUAAAUUAUGCCUUCUUCGUCUUACUAUCAUUGGUAUCUAUUUCCCACACUUCCUGUUAGAUAAGUUGAAGUGAAGUUAUAAAUAAUGCACCACAUUAUGUUUUGGAACAUAUCAGCCCGAAAGAAUCUUUAUAUUGGAGUUUUAGAGAGUGUAAAAAGAAGUCAUGAAAUAUCUUCUGAUAGUCUCUUUACUUGUAUUUCUGCAUAUGCCUGGCGUUAAAUGUUGUCGUCAAUACUAUACAGAAGUCGAGACGGCGUAUAUGUACGAGUGUGUCAACUGGUUUCUAGGCUUCUGCGUGAACCAUGAAUAUGUCCCACGUCAGACAGAUCGACAGUUAUCUCGAUGUUGUUCUGGAUGGACCGGCAGUAACUGUGAAACUCGUAUGUGAGCUGUUUAAUGGGAAGUUACUUGUACUUCAGAACAGUCCAUUUUUCUAUGUAUCGAGUUUUUAUCUAUUUGUAUCAUAAACAAGUACAUAUAUAUUUGUAUUUUAGAAAUCAGAUAAAUAGCCACCCGCCGAAAAAAACCUAACAGUUAUAUUUAUUUAUCCUUCUACUUAAUAUUUUGAACUUUCUGUACAAAGAGGAAAAAUCAAUUUGGCUGUGUGAUGAGGUGGCAACAAGCCAGGUUUUUAGGUUCUUUUUGUGUUCACAAUGCUGUCUUGUUGCGGUGGCCUAUGACACCCCAUCUUUUAUGUUUUUUGUGUACAUAUAGGUGUUUUGUUCACCUUUACCUGUAUAUUUUGUAUUAAGUUUUGUCACAGCAAUGACUCAACCAUAUUGUAUUUUUUCUGUACAUAUGUUUGUUUGUUCCCUUUUAACUGUAGAUCUUUGAUUAGGUUUAUCACAGCAGCAAUGACUCAGGGACAUACUGGUUUGCAUAUCAGUUGUUUAUUUUUGCUACUUUGCACUACUAGUCAAACCUUAUCUAUGUAUUUAGUCAUAUUGCAUUAUACUGUUUAUUGGGGUUGCUGCUAGUAAAAUUUGACCUUAUUUUUUAUGUACUGUCCCAAUUUUUAGUUGUGAUUUACCAUUGUUAUUUGGCUUAUUACUCUGUCAUUUAUCUAUUGAAUAAAUGACCUUUCCUAUUCCUCAA